GAGAGAGACCCGAAACUACAUGUACCUGUCCUGGCAUCACAUUUGAGGAGGAGAUGAAGUCGGUGAAUAUGACCUAGCCUGGGGGAGUUUCCAGAAGAGGGCCCAGAACCACCGGCCGCCAGGAGUGGAGGUCCUUUGUUGUUGCUCUACAUGUCAGGAGGCAUCGGGCAGUAGGUAAGACUAACCCUGGUAGAAGCACCAUCUUGAUACCAUCAUUCAAACUCUCAUCAGCUGUAUCAUUAUAGGUGGACUAAAAGAACAAUAUUCAUGCAGAUAUAAUGAUGCCUUAAGUUGAAAUGGAAGGUGUCCUGAAUCUGCAACCAUUCAUCUGGUUUCGUAACUCCUUUCAUAGUGCUAUUGGAACCUGCUCCCUACCAGUAUAACAUCGAACAGAUUGGAAGAAUAAAGGCCUAUGGGAAGUGCCUUUUAUAUUCCUACUUGCCACAAAGCAGUCCGUGGUUUAGCGCAAUCUAAACUGGACUAAUGUAAUGCUCUUCGUGCUUGAAUUAAGGCGAUCUGGACCGCUGCAUCUAUUGUGCCAUUUGCCAUACGCCAACUUCGCUGGCUACAAGUCAAGGAAAGGAUAUACAUGAACAUCAGUGUCCGUCUCCUGAUUUUCAAAGUCAAUGACAGAGAUCCAGAUUACAUGUAUUUAAAGGAAUCCCUUGUGCGUCAUUUUCAUUCUCGGCGCACUUGCCUUUUUAUUUUUGUGAUCAUUACGCACCUACAAAUUAGCUACUGGUGAUGCAACUUUCUCCACUACUGCUCCAAGGCCAUGGAAUUAGCUCCUUCCUCUCCUCCAGUUGUCAACAACCUUGGAUCAAUCCAAAUACAUUUUGAGAAGACCUACCAUAUUCCUGAUCAUCUUUGCUCUGGACUUACAACAAUACUGUCACUGCCUGGUAAUUUGAAUGUUUUAAAAUCUCAUGUGCUGACUAGGAUGGCGUCUCAAAGCGCUUUGUAUCUCGCAAAAUAAUGUGUUGUGUAAAAGCGAACACGCAAUGAGGUCAAGCAUAAGGGUAACCAUGGAUAUUGCCUUUGAUUACUUUUUAACAAAACUGAAAAAUUCAUCAAAAUUAGACAAGGGAUAAUAAAGUAAUGUAUGACAUUCUAACCUCUGCAUUAUAUUGGUGAAAGAGCUCUAAGCAUAUGCAAGUAGCAAGCUGAUGAUGUCAUACAGACGUACACGUAUCCCCAACUUAUUAUUUUGUAUAUAAAAUCGUGUAUUUAAUUUUGUUUACCAAGAAUGAAACAAAUCGGAUUGUAAACUGUAUUGAUGUGACUUACCUGUUUUGAUUAUUGCUGGAAGUUCUUUUGCUACAUGGGAUUGGAAGACAUACUUAUUACACACAUGAAGUAAUUGUUAUUUUAUCUGGUAACAUGAGAAUAAUAAAAAUGUGGGCAUGAUAUCAUAAACUUACAUGUACAUGUAUCUACUUGCAUGUGUUGAUGACCAAUAUUUUUGUAAUUAUUUUAAAAAAAUUAAUUUUAUCUGAUUUUGAUAAAAUUUUCACUAUUUUGCCUGGUAAAAAUUACUUUAUUUAUCAUAGAUUAUGUUGAACCUGUAUCAUAUACAAGUACAACUUUAAAGAUAAAUUACCAGUUGUAGUAACAAUCUUAAAAUGAGUUCGAACAGAAUCCAAUAGAAUUACCAGCAAAAUAUAAAAGAUAUGUGCCAAAAUUAUAGCUUGGGAAGAAAAUGUGUAAUUGCUGAGAAAUGAGCAAAAUAAGCAUGUAAUUCUAUCAAAUGUCAGGUAUUUUUCAAAUCAAUCAUAAUACAGUGUCCUGUCCCACAUAUGCUUUUCUGUGUUAGUGAUCAUCAGAAUUAUUGAUUUUAAGUUCAAAAUUCAUGAUUUUACAAAGAUACAAGUUUACAUUAAUGUACCAGAUCUAGAGACUCUGUACAAUAUUUUGACAAUUUCUCAAGAAAUAAUUGUUUGCUGCAACUACUGUCUUUUACCUCUAAGUGAUAGUGUAAUACAACCACAAACUUUUCAUAAGAAUUAAUGUACAUGUAUGAUUCUUUCACCCAAAUUUACAUGCAUUGAUACUGUUGACUACUUGCCAAAACUGAGUUCCUGCCAAAAGCCUUUUUUUUUACGAUGUACAUGCUUUUAUAGACGACCUGCCAAAACAUUGUUUUGUAUAUAUAUUCAAGGACCAACCAAAAAGAGAUGAAUUAAAUGUUUGAAGGAAAUUGAAAUUAACUUUUAAAAUGAUAGCUGUAAAUGCAGUAUUAUUUUAGGGUUCCCACAGUCAUGGAAAAUCCUGAAAAAAAUUGUGGUCAUGGAAAGUCAGGGAAAAAUUCGGGGAAUUUGGAAAAUUUGUGAAAAGUCAUGGAAUUGCAUUUACCUCUUGGCUAUGGCAGCUUUCUAGUUUUUUUUAUGUCUCACAACUCUCAUACUCUGUGAUUGUACUCUACUAUUAUAAUUGGUGUUCAUGAUCAUAACAUGUCUGAUUUUGUAAACCGUGCCAGAAAGGAAUUAAGUCAUGGAAAGCAGCAAUUUAGUCAUGGAAAGGUCAUGGAAUUCUGUUCCUGUUUUUCUGUGGGAACCCUGAAUAGGUUUGUGCACUUGACACAGUGUGCACUAACAGAUGAACUUUGUAAUGCCAUGAUAUAAACCAGUACAAUAUCUUAAAGGAUUAUAAAACCCAAAAUAUAAUACCACAUGAUACCAUUGAUAAAUACAGGACAAUGAAAAUGAAUCCACUCAUAUACCCCAAAUCCGAUUUCCCAGUAUGGAGUACCACCUUUUCAAAGUUGGCAUCUUCUGGUUCGAAGUCUAUGGAUGGAGAUUAUUCCGUCAGCGACGAAAUACAUGUACAUCUCUAAACAUUUGGGCAUUAUAUAUUCUAUUUUAUCAAUAAUAAAUCAAAUGUGCAGAUAAAACUCAUAAAACAUUAAUUAAAAUUUGUUUAAUAUUAUAUGAUAGGUUCAAAUUACGAAUUGAUGAGUUUUAAUAAUAAGAAUUACACCCUAAUCUACGAUUUACAAAUUGGCAGCGAGAAUCAAUCCGAAAUUGGGGUGUAAAUCUUAUCAUUAAAACUCAUCAUAUUGUAUUUUGAACCUACCAUAUAAUAUUAAACAAAUUUUAACUAAUAUUUUUAUGAGUUUUAUCUGUACAUUUGAUUUGUUAUUGAUAAAAUAGAAUAUAUAAUGCCCAAACGUUUAGAGAUGUAGUUCGUCGCUGAUGUAAUAAUUUUCUAACUAACCCCGCGAAAAUGGCGACCUCCAUCCAGAAAAUAUUGUAAGAGGCCAACUUUGAAAAGGUGGUACUCCGUAAUUGGAAAUCGGAUUGGGGUAUGAGUGGAUUCAUUUUGAUCGUCCUGUAUUUAUCAAUGGGAUCAUGUGGUAUUAUAUUUUGGGUGUUAUUUUCCUUUAAUUCAGAUAAUACAUGCCAGGGUAUCGUCCUAGUUUUCAUUUUUAGUGCGUAAAUUGAUCUAAUUAUUCGAUAAAUAUUUCUUAAAAUGAAUGGUGCCUGUUCCUUUGAACACUAUUCUAAACUGAGUGGACUCCAAAUACAUCUCUCAUCUAUCGUCUAUUUCUACUUGCCCUUCGGCCUUGAAGUAAACUUGGGAGAAUUAUGCAUUUUGUUAUACAGUAUGCAAUUUUGAGUACAGUGCACUUUGCGGCAGCUACUUAUAUGAUAUUAUCUAUUGUAGACACAUCCUUAUGUUUUGUUCAUUUUCUUAAAAACAAUUAAGAGUUUAAUCAUUUUUGUCUUUAAACAUAAAACAAAGAGUAAUCAAUCCAUUCUGUAUGUGUGACCUGCAAAAAAAACUAAAAUGGUCAUUAAUUUGGUUUGCUGAAAAGCCUGAUAGCCUUUGAGGUAACUUUUUAAAGUAUUUAGAAGAAAUGUAUUUUUUUUUAAGUAUUCAUAUGCACUGCAAUUUCUUUGAUAGUUACUGUUAUGUUACACUGUUUGUACAGUAAAGCAGCUGUUAUACAUUUUUUGUCAAUAGCAAAUGUAAACCAGUAUUGUAAACUGAUGACUCUAUGAGCUAAAUACCAGUACUAUCUAUAUCACUUGUAAAAUCA